AUUGAACGCUGGCGGCAGGCCUAACACAUGCAAGUCGAGCGGUAGAGAGGUGCUUGCAUCUCUUGAGAGCGGCGGACGGGUGAGUAAUGCCUAGGAAUCUGCCUGGUGGUGGGGGAUAACGUUCGGAAACGGACGCUAAUACCGCAUACGUCCUACGGGAGAAAGCGGGGGGAUCUUCGGACCUCGCGCCAUUAGAUGAGCCUAGGUCGGAUUAGCUAGUUGGUGAGGUAAUGGCUCACCAAGGCGACGAUCCGUAACUGGUCUGAGAGGAUGAUCAGUCACACUGGAACUGAGACACGGUCCAGACUCCUACGGGAGGCAGCAGUGGGGAAUAUUGGACAAUGGGCGAAAGCCUGAUCCAGCCAUGCCGCGUGUGUGAAGAAGGUCUUCGGAUUGUAAAGCACUUUAAGUUGGGAGGUAAGGGUAGUAACCUAAUACGUUG
rnacentral:rRNA from 1 species